UACGUAGGGUGCAAGCGUUAAUCGGAAUUACUGGGCGUAAAGCGUGCGCAGGCGGUUUUGUAAGUCUGUCGUGAAAUCCCCGGGCUUAACCUGGGAAUGGCAUUGGUGACUGCACGGCUAGAGUGUGUCAGAGGGGGGUAGAAUUCCACGUGUAGCAGUGAAAUGCGUAGAGAUGUGGAGGAAUACCGAUGGCGAAGGCAGCCCCCUGGGAUAACACUGACGCUCAUGCACGAAAGCGUGGGGAGCAAACAGG
rnacentral:rRNA from 1 species